GAUCAUGGCUCAGAACGAACGCUGGCGGCGCGUUUAAGCAUGCAAGUCGAACGGCAGUGGUAGCAAUACCAUGAGAGUGGCGCACGGGUGAGUAACACGUAGGUGAUCUACCUUGGGUGGGGGAUAGUCCAUGGAAACAUGGGGUAAUACCGCAUGAAGCCUUGGGUGUAAGGGCCUGAGGUUAAAGGAGCAAUUGUUCCGCCUGGGGAUGAGCCUGCGGUCCAUUAGCUAGUUGGCGGGUAAAGGCCCACCAAGGCUACGAUGGAUAGCCGGCCUGAGAGGGUGUACGGCCACACUGGGACUGAGACACGGCCCAGACUCCUACGGGAGGCAGCAGCUAAGAAUCUUCCGCAAUGGGGGAAACCCUGACGGAGCGACGCCGCGUGGGCGAAUGAAGGCCGGAAGGUUGUAAAGCCCUUUUCUUGGCGAAGAAUAAGGCUGGUAAUGGACUGACCAGUCGAUGACGUUAGCCGAGGAAUAAGCCCCGGCCAAUUACGUGCCAGCAGCGGC
rnacentral:rRNA from 1 species